rnacentral:rRNA from 2 species
GGGUUGUGAGGUUAAGCGACUAAGCGUACACGGUGGAUGCCCUGGCAGUCAGAGGCGAUGAAGGGCGUGCUAAUCUGCGAUAAGCGCCGGUAAGGUGAUAUGAACCGUUAUAACCGGCGAUACCCGAAUGGGGAAACCCAGUGUGAUUGGUCACACUAUCAUUAACUGAAUCCAUAGGUUAAUGAGGCGAACCGGGGGAACUGAAACAUCUAAGUACCCCGAGGAAAAGAAAUCAACCGAGAUUCCCCCAGUAGCGGCGAGCGAACGGGGAGGAGCCCAGAGCCUGAAUCAGCAUGUGUGUUAGUGGAAGCGUCUGGAAAGGCGCGCGAUACAGGGUGACAGCCCCGUACACAAAAGCGCAUGUGCUGUGAGCUCGAUGAGUAGGGCGGGACACGUGGUAUCCUGUCUGAAUAUGGGGGGACCAUCCUCCAAGGCUAAAUACUCCUGACUGACCGAUAGUGAACCAGUACCGUGAGGGAAAGGCGAAAAGAACCCCGGCGAGGGGAGUGAAAAAGAACCUGAAACCGUGUACGUACAAGCAGUGGGAGCACCCUUCGGGGUGUGACUGCGUACCUUUUGUAUAAUGGGUCAGCGACUUAUAUUCUGUAGCAAGGUUAACCGUAUAGGGGAGCCGGAGGGAAACCGAGUCUUAACCGGGCGUUAAGUUGCAGGGUAUAGACCCGAAACCCGGUGAUCUAGCCAUGGGCAGGUUGAAGGUUGGGUAACACUAACUGGAGGACCGAACCGACUAAUGUUGAAAAAUUAGCGGAUGACCUGUGGCUGGGGGUGAAAGGCCAAUCAAACCGGGAGAUAGCUGGUUCUCCCCGAAAGCUAUUUAGGUAGCGCCUCGUGAAUUCAUCUCCGGGGGUAGAGCACUGUUUCGGCUAGGGGGCCAUCCCGGCUUACCAACCCGAUGCAAACUGCGAAUACCGGAGAAUGUUAUCACGGGAGACACACGGCGGGUGCUAACGUCCGUCGUGAAGAGGGAAACAACCCAGACCGCCAGCUAAGGUCCCAAAGUCAUGGUUAAGUGGGAAACGAUGUGGGAAGGCCCAGACAGCCAGGAUGUUGGCUUAGAAGCAGCCAUCAUUUAAAGAAAGCGUAAUAGCUCACUGGUCGAGUCGGCCUGCGCGGAAGAUGUAACGGGGCUAAACCAUGCACCGAAGCUGCGGCAGCGAACGUAUCACCCAAGACAACUUUACGGAGUUGACGAUUGACGGAGCGAAGCGACGUCAAAGCGUUCAUUAAAGUCGAGUUGGCUUAGGGAUACGUUCGUUGGGUAGGGGAGCGUUCUGUAAGCCUGUGAAGGUGUGUCGUGAGGCAUGCUGGAGGUAUCAGAAGUGCGAAUGCUGACAUAAGUAACGAUAAAGCGGGUGAAAAGCCCGCUCGCCGGAAGACCAAGGGUUCCUGUCCAACGUUAAUCGGGGCAGGGUGAGUCGACCCCUAAGGCGAGGCCGAAAGGCGUAGUCGAUGGGAAACGGGUUAAUAUUCCCGUACUUGGUGUUACUGCGAAGGGGGGACGGAGAAGGCUAUGUUGGCCGGGCGACGGUUGUCCCGGUUUAAGCGUGUAGGUGUGUGUUCCAGGUAAAUCCGGUUCACUUUAACACUGAGGCGUGACGACGAGGCACUACGGUGCUGAAGCAACAAAUGCCCUGCUUCCAGGAAAAGCCUCUAAGCAUCAGGUAACAUCAAAUCGUACCCCAAACCGACACAGGUGGUCAGGUAGAGAAUACCAAGGCGCUUGAGAGAACUCGGGUGAAGGAACUAGGCAAAAUGGUGCCGUAACUUCGGGAGAAGGCACGCUGACACGUAGGUGAAGUGAUUUACUCAUGGAGCUGAAGUCAGUCGAAGAUACCAGCUGGCUGCAACUGUUUAUUAAAAACACAGCACUGUGCAAACACGAAAGUGGACGUAUACGGUGUGACGCCUGCCCGGUGCCGGAAGGUUAAUUGAUGGGGUCAGCGCAAGCGAAGCUCCUGAUCGAAGCCCCGGUAAACGGCGGCCGUAACUAUAACGGUCCUAAGGUAGCGAAAUUCCUUGUCGGGUAAGUUCCGACCUGCACGAAUGGCGUAAUGAUGGCCAGGCUGUCUCCACCCGAGACUCAGUGAAAUUGAACUCGCUGUGAAGAUGCAGUGUACCCGCGGCAAGACGGAAAGACCCCGUGAACCUUUACUAUAGCUUGACACUGAACAUUGAGCCUUGAUGUGUAGGAUAGGUGGGAGGCUUUGAAGUGUGGACGCCAGUCUGCAUGGAGCCGACCUUGAAAUACCACCCUUUAAUGUUUGAUGUUCUAACGUGGACCCGUAAUCCGGGUUGCGGACAGUGUCUGGUGGGUAGUUUGACUGGGGCGGUCUCCUCCUAAAGAGUAACGGAGGAGCACGAAGGUUGGCUAAUCCUGGUCGGACAUCAGGAGGUUAGUGCAAUGGCAUAAGCCAGCUUGACUGCGAGCGUGACGGCGCGAGCAGGUGCGAAAGCAGGUCAUAGUGAUCCGGUGGUUCUGAAUGGAAGGGCCAUCGCUCAACGGAUAAAAGGUACUCCGGGGAUAACAGGCUGAUACCGCCCAAGAGUUCAUAUCGACGGCGGUGUUUGGCACCUCGAUGUCGGCUCAUCACAUCCUGGGGCUGAAGUAGGUCCCAAGGGUAUGGCUGUUCGCCAUUUAAAGUGGUACGCGAGCUGGGUUUAGAACGUCGUGAGACAGUUCGGUCCCUAUCUGCCGUGGGCGCUGGAGAACUGAGGGGGGCUGCUCCUAGUACGAGAGGACCGGAGUGGACGCAUCACUGGUGUUCGGGUUGUCAUGCCAAUGGCACUGCCCGGUAGCUAAAUGCGGAAGAGAUAAGUGCUGAAAGCAUCUAAGCACGAAACUUGCCCCGAGAUGAGUUCUCCCUGAGACUUAGAGUCUCCUGAAGGAACGUUGAAGACGACGACGUUGAUAGGCCGGGUGUGUAAGCGCAGCGAUGCGUUGAGCUAACCGGUACUAAUGAACCGUGAGGCUUAACCUUACAACGCCGAAG